rnacentral:rRNA from 1 species
GACGAACGCUGGCGGCGUGCUUAACACAUGCAAGUCGAACGGAAAGGCCCUGCUUUUGUGGGGUGCUCGAGUGGCGAACGGGUGAGUAACACGUGAGUAACCUGCCCUUGACUUUGGGAUAACUUCAGGAAACUGGGGCUAAUACCGGAUAGGAGCUCCUGCUGCAUGGUGGGGGUUGGAAAGUUUCGGCGGUGGGGGAUGGACUCGCGUCUUAUCAGCUUGUUGGGGGGGUAGUGUCUUACCAAGGCUUUGACGGGUAGCCGGCCUGAGAGGGUGACCGGCAUCGUUGGUGCUGUGCUACGGCCCAGACUCCUGCGGGAGGCAGUAGUGGGGAAUAUUGCACAAUGGGCGGAAGCCUGAUGCAGCGACGCCGCGUGCGGGAUGACGGCCUUCUGGUUGUAAACCGCUUUCGCCUGUGACGAAGCGUGAGUGACGGUAAUGGGUAAAGAAGCACCGGCUAACUACGUG